GAUUUUUGGCUGAGAAACAUGAGGGAUGUGGAAAGACUAUCAACUGUGGACGAUGUAACAAGCGUGGAGUAUUCUGUUUCCUUCGUCUCUACAUCUCUUUGGAUGAGAACUAUGAGGAAUGUGGAAAGAUUAUCAAGUGAUCUUCACAGCUAUCUCUCCAUUCUCGAAUGGCUACAUUUUAUGGGUACUGGAACUUGCCAGAGGAUGGCUUCUUUCCCUCCUCCAAGUAUUCGGCACAAUGC
rnacentral:lncRNA from 1 species